AGCCAGACUCCUACGGGAGGCAGCAGUGGGGAAUAUUGCACAAUGGGGGAAACCCUGAUGCAGCGACGCCGCGUGAGUGAAGAAGUAUUUCGGUAUGUAAAGCUCUAUCAGCAGGGAAGAAAAUGACGGUACCUGACUAAGAAGCCCCGGCUAACUACGUGCCAGCAGCCGCGGUAAUACGUAGGGGGCAAGCGUUAUCCGGAUUUACUGGGUGUAAAGGGAGCGUAGACGGCGUGGCAAGUCAGAUGUGAAAGCCCGGGGCUCAACCCCGGGACUGCAUUUGAAACUGUCAGGCUGGAGUGCAGGAGAGGUAAGUGGAAUUCCUAGUGUAGCGGUGAAAUGCGUAGAUAUUAGGAGGAACACCAGUGGCGAAGGCGGCUUACUGGACUGUAACUGACGUUGAGGCUCGAAAGCGUGGGGAGCAAACAGGAUUAGAUACCCCGGUACC
rnacentral:rRNA from 1 species